UGGGGAAUCUUGCGCAAUGCGCGAAAGCGUGACGCAGCAACGCCGCGUGGGGGAAGAAGGCCUUCGGGUUGUAAACCCCUUUCAGUUGGGACGAAGCUUCGCCGGUGAACAGCCGGCUGGCGUGACGGUACCUUCCCAAGAAGCCCCGGCUAACUACGUGCCAGCAGCCGCGGUAAUACGUAGGGGGCUAGCGUUGUCCGGAAUCAUUGGGCGUAAAGCGCGUGUAGGCGGCCCGGUAAGUCCGCUGUGAAAGUCGGGGGCUCAACCCUCGGAUGGCGGUGGAUACUGUCGGGCUUGAGGACGGAAGAGGAGAGUGGAAUUCCUGGUGUAGCGGUGAAAUGCGCAGAUAUCAGGAGGAACACCGGUUGCGAAGGCAGCUCGCUGGGACGUUACUGACGCGGAGGCGCGAAAGCGAGGGGAGCAAACAGG
rnacentral:rRNA from 1 species